CUUUCUCCGCCGGCGACCGGCGCACGGGUGAGUAACACGUAUGCAACCUGCCCCUGUCAGGGGGACAACCCGCCGAAAGGCGGGCUAAACCCGCAUACAUGCCACCGGGGCAUCCCGGAGGCAGGAAAGGCUUCGGCCGGACAGGGAUGGGCAUGCGGCGCAUUAGGUAGUAGGCGGGGUAACGGCCCACCUAACCGACGAUGCGUAGGGGUUCUGAGAGGAAGGUCCCCCACACUGGUACUGAGACACGGACCAGACUCCUACGGGAGGCAGCAG
rnacentral:rRNA from 1 species